rnacentral:rRNA from 1 species
AACGAACGCUGGCGGCAUGCCUAACACAUGCAAGUCGAACGAGACCUUCGGGCCUGGUGGCGCAUGGGUGCGUAACGCGUGGGAUCCUGCCCAUAGGUUUGGAAUAACUUCCGGAAUGGGGUGCUAAUACCGGAUAUUGUCUUCGGACCAAAGAUUUAUCGCCUUUGGAGGGGCCUGAGUUGGCUUGGCAGGUUGGUAGGGUAAAAGCCUACAGAGGCUACGAUGCAUAGCUGGUAUGAGAGGAUGGUCCACCACACUGGGAGAGGGACACGGCCCAGACACCGGCGGAAGGCAGCAGUGGGGAAUAAUGGACGCUGGGCGAGUGCAUAAUCCAGCCGUGCCGUGUAGGUGAUGAAGGUCUUAGGAUUGUAAGGCUCUUUUACCCGGGAUGAUAAUGACAGUACCGGAGAAAUAGGCUCCGGCUAACUCGGU